rnacentral:rRNA from 1 species
UCCGGUGGCGAUGCGCGUCGGGGUCACACCCGUUCCCAUCCCGAACACGAUGGUUAAGACUGACGCGGCCGACAAUACUUGGCUGGAGACGGCCGGGAAGAUAGGUGGCUGCCGGAU